AAGUCGGGCGAUGAGGCUCCUUCGGGGGUACAUCAGCGGCAGACGGGUGAGUAACACGUAGGUGACCUACCCUCGAGACGGGGAUAACGGCUGGAAACAGUCGCUAAUACCCGAUAGACUUACCAGGUCAAAGCGGUAAGAAAAGCUACGGUGCUUGGGGAGGGGCCUGCGGCCCAUCAGCUAGUUGGUAGGGUAACGGCCUACCAAGGCGAAGACGGGUAGGGGGUGUGAGAGCACGAGCCCCCACAAUGGGACUGCGACACGGCCCAUACUCCUACGGGAGGCAGCAGCAGGGAAUAUUGCACAAUGGACGGAAGUCUGAUGCAGCGACGCCGCGUGAGUGAAGACGGCCUUCGGGUUGUAAAGCUCUUUUACGGGGGACGAGGAAGGACGGUACCCUGGGAAGAAGUGUCGGCUAACUACGUGCCAGCAGCCGCGGUAAGACGUAGGACACAAGCGUUAUCCGGAGUUACUGGGCGUAAAGCGCCUGCAGGCGGCCCUGGUAAGUUGGACGUGAAAGCCCCGUGCUUAACGCGGGGAGGUCGGACAAUACUGCCAAGCUAGAGUGCGUCAGAGGGGAGUGGAAUUUCCGGAGUAGCGGUCACAAUGCGCAGAUAUCGGAAGGAACACCAGUGGCGAAAGCGACUCCCUGGGGCGCGACUGACGCUAAGAGGGCGAAAGCUAGGGGAGCGAACAGGAUUAGAGACCCUGGUAGUCCUAGCCCUAAACGAUGGAUGCUAGGUGUGGGACGUAAAGUUCCGUGCCGGAGCCAACGCGAUAAGCAUCCCGCCUGGGGACUACGGUCGCAAGGCUAAAACUCAAACGAAUUGACGGGGACCCGCGCAAGCAGCGGAGCGUGUGGUUCAAUUCGAUGCUACACGAAGAACCUUACCUGGGUUUGACAUGUACGUGGUAGAGAAGCGAAAGCGGAUUGACCCUUCGGGGAGCGUACACAGGUGCUGCAUGGCUGUCGUCAGCUCGUGCCGUGAGGUGUCGGGUUAAGUCCCGUAACGAGCGCAACCCUUAUCCUUAGUUGCACGUAUCUAGGGAGACUGCCGGCGGGAAGCCGGAGGAAGGUGGGGAUGACGUCAAGUCAGCAUGGCCCUUAUGUCCAGGGCUACACACACGCUACAAUGGCCGGUACAGAGGGCAGCAAAGUCGCGAGGCGGAGCGAGUCCCAACAAAGCCGGUCGUAGUUCGGAUUGCAGGCUGCAACUCGCCUGCAUGAAGCUGGAGUUGCUAGUAACCGCGCGUCAGCUAUAGUGCGGUGAAUACGUACCCGGGUCUUGUACACACCGCCCGUCACGUCAUGGAAGUCGGUAACGCCUGAAGGCGGUAGCCUA
rnacentral:rRNA from 1 species